rnacentral:rRNA from 1 species
UACGAAGGGGGCUAGCGUUGCUCGGAAUCACUGGGCGUAAAGGGUGCGUAGGCGGGCAGGUAAGUCCGUGGUGAAAUCUCCGAGCUUAACUCGGAAACUGCCAUGGAUACUAUUUGUCUUGAAUGUUGUGGAGGUGAGCGGAAUAUGUCAUGUAGCGGUGAAAUGCUUAGAUAUGACAUAGAACACCAAUUGCGAAGGCAGCUCACUACACAAAUAUUGACGCUGAGGCACGAAAGCGUGGGGAUCAAACAGG